GACGAACGCUGGCGGCGUGCUUAACACAUGCAAGUCGAACGGAAAGGCCCUGCUUUUGUGGGGUGCUCGAGUGGCGAACGGGUGAGUAACACGUGAGUAACCUGCCCUUGACUUUGGGAUAACUUCAGGAAACUGGGGCUAAUACCGGAUAGGAGCUCCUGCUGCAUGGUGGGGGUUGGAAAGUUUCGGCGGUUGGGGAUGGACUCGCGGCUUAUCAGCUUGUUGGUGGGGUAGUGGCUUACCAAGGCUUUGACGGGUAGCCGGCCUGAGAGGGUGACCGGCCACAUUGGGACUGAGGUACGGCCCAGACUCCUACGGGAGGCAGCAGUGGGGAAUAUUGCACAAUGGGCGGAAGCCUGAUGCAGCAACGCCGCGUGCGGGAUGACGGCCUUCGGGUUGUAAACCGCUUUCGCCUGUGACGAAGCGUGAGUGACGGUAAUGGGUAAAGAAGCAACGGCUAACUACGUG
rnacentral:rRNA from 1 species